UGCAAGUCUACGGGAAAGGGGUAGCAAUAUCCCGAGUAUAGUGGCGCACGGGUGAGUAACACGUAGGCAAUUUGCCUUUAGGACGGGGACAACUCCGCGAAAGCGGAGCUAAUACCCGAUAAUGCAGCGGCAUCACAUGUUGAUGUUGUUAAAGGCCCGCAAGGGCGCCUAGAGAUGAGCCUGCGUCCCAUUAGGUAGUUGGCGGGGUAAUAGCCCACCAAGCCUGCGAUGGGUAGCUGGUCUGAGAGGAUGAUCAGCCACACUGGAACUGAGACACGGUCCAGACUCCUACGGGAGGCAGCAGUGAGGAAUAUUGCGCAAUGGCCGAAAGGCUGACGCAGCGACGCCGCGUGAAGGAUGAAGUCCGUUAGGAUGUAAACUUCUUUUGCAGGGGAUGAAUGUGGAGUUUUACUCCAUUGACCGUACCCUGCGAAUAAGGAUCGGCUAACUACGUGCCAGCAGCCGCGGUAAUACGUAGGAUCCGAGCGUUGUCCGGAAUUACUGGGUGUAAAGGGCGUGUAGGUGGGUUCCUAAGUCGGUGGUGAAAUCUUGCAGCUUAACUGCAAAAUUGCCGUCGAUACUGGGGAUCUUGAGUACGGCAGAGGGAGAUGGAAUUCAUGGUGUAGCGGUGAAAUGUGUAGAUAUCAUGAAGAACACCGGUAGCGAA
rnacentral:rRNA from 1 species